UGAAUAUUUCACAGAGGGAAGCAGGU
rnacentral:piRNA from 1 species